rnacentral:rRNA from 1 species
UACAGAGGGUGCGAGCGUUGUUCGGAAUUAUUGGGCGUAAAGGGCGCGUAGGCGGUGCGGUAAGUCACCUGUGAAAUCUCCUGGCUCAACUGGGAGCUUGCAGGCGAAACUGCCGUGCUGGAGUGUGGGAGAGGUGCGUGGAAUUCCUGGUGUAGCGGUGAAAUGCGUAGAUAUCGGGAGGAACACCAGUGGCGAAGGCGGCUUCCUGGACCGGUUCUGACACUGAGGAGCGAAAGCGUGGGGAGCGAUCCGG